rnacentral:tRNA from 1 species
GGGGUUGUGGCUCAGCGGUAGAGCGCUCACCUAGCACGUGAGAUGGUUGGCCCUGGGUUCGAUCCUCAACACCA